UUUUAUUGUUUUAAUUUGUUCGUAAGGAAGAUACACACGCACAAAUAUUUCUGGUCACAACAUUGGUUAGACAACUUAAGUAAUGUGUGGAUAACUAGUAUUGUCUAACCAAUAUAUAUCAAACUAUAAAGUAUUGAUUUAAGACAACUUAAGUAAUGCGUGGAUAAUUAGUUUGAUGUUUUAAUAUAAGACAGAUCUUUUAAGCUUCAAACCAGUGCCGAUUUUAGCAUGUUGAUGUUCAUAUGAACAGAUAAAAAAAUAUAAUAAGUUUAAAUUAUAUUUGUUCCUUUUUGUGUGGGAUUCAUAUAUAGUAGAAUGAGUUUGCUUGGGAGUUUGGUGUGUGCAGCAAGGAGUUAACAAUUUUCUUCUUGAAAUCUAAUUCUUAAAUAGUACCAUGAUAGUUAGUAGUGAAAAGUUAGCUUGUUAUACUAUCUAAUACACCUCCAGUGCAAAAUUCUCAAGGAUUUAGGUCUUUAAAUUGAUUCUGGUAACAGGGACAAAAAGAUUGACCUGCCUUUUGUUAUUAAUUACUCUUACUUUCAGAAAUAUAUCACACCUUGCAAAGAUCAUUGGUGACUUCAGCUCUUGUAUAUGACAGUUCUAACCCCAGCCACUGCAUUUGCUGGAGAGUAUUUCAUAGCAGCUUCCUUCUAUGCAAAGAGUAAAAUAUGGAUUUUAAUGGCACGAUGCUACACGAAUUUUCCAUGGUAAGUGAGGGGAUUCAGGGAAGAACCUUCUCUUUCAUUUUGGUGGUAGAGCCACAUUUCUGAUGUGGUUACUGAUCACUUAGUGUGAUCUUCACCUUAUGAUUCCCUACGAGGUCUUGAUGUAUUUAGAAAGUUCAGUCGGAUGUGUACAAAUAAUAUUUUAUCCUCUUUCAGGCUUUUUUUAACAAAUGAGUUUCAGACCUGGUGUAUACAUAUUGGAUUAUGAAUUUCUAAAAAAUAAACACGGUUUGAGUUA